rnacentral:lncRNA from 1 species
CUCCCGGGCAUGCCAGCACAAUCUCUCAGAAGUGCCAGAAGCACGUGCCAGACAGGCCGGAACCAUCUCCCGGACAGACCGGAACCACAGGAAACCCUCGCCGGAACCACCUGCUUGACUCACCGGUCCCACCUGCCGGACACGCCAAAAUCACCUGCCCACUACACCAGAACCACUUGAGGGACAAGCCGGAAUCACGUGAAGGGCAUGCUGGCACAACCUCUCAGACGUUCCAGAAUCAUGUGCCAGAGAGACAGGAAGCACUUGCCGAGUAUACCGGAAGCACCUGAUCCACUCCCCAGAACCACCUGCCGGACACCCCUGAAUCAAGAGACGAGCACGCCGGAACCACCGGCUCGACUCGCAGGACCCCCCUACCAGACACGCCAAAAUCACCUGCGGGCUGCAUCAGAACCACUUGUCGGACACUCUGUAAUCACCUGCCGGGCAUGCCGGAACCACCUCUCAGACGUGCCAGAACUGCCGGACACGUCAGAACCACCUCCUGAACAGACUGGAACCAGGUGCUGGACACGCCUGAACCACUUGGUUCACACUCCGGAAUCACCUGCCAGACAUACCAAAACCACCUCCAGGACAGACCAAAAACACCUGCCGAUCACGCCGAAGCCACCUGCUAGACUAGCCGGAACCACCUGCCAGACACGCCAACGUAAUCUGCCGGCUGUGCCAGAACUGCUUGGCAGAUACUCCGGAACCACCUCCUUUAGAGCUCGGAACCACCUGCUGGACCUGCCAGAACCACCCGCCGAGCAAACCAGAACUACCUGCUCUUGCCGGAACCACCUCCUGGACAUGCCAAAAUCACCCGCUGGCUAUGCCAAACUACUUGGCGGACACGCCAGAACCAUCUGUCAAGCAUGGCAGAGCCACCUGAUCGAAUCGGCAGAACCAUCUGCCGGACACCCCAAAAUCAACUGCCCGCUAUGCCAGAACCAAGUGGCAGACAGUCCGGAAUCACCUGCUGGGCAUGCCAGAACCAACUCUCAGACGUACCAGAACCACAUGCUGGAGACGCCGGAAGCAACUCCAAGACAGAGCGGAAGCACCUGACGGACAUGCCGGAAGCACCUGCUCGACUUGCCGGAACCACCUGCCAGACAUGGCAAAAACACCAGCCAACUACGCCAGAACCACUUGGCGGACACUC